GAUGAACGCUGGCGGCGUGCCUAAUACAUGCAAGUCGAGCGAACGGACGAGAAUCUUGCUUCGCUGAUGUUAGCGGCGGACGGGUGAGUAACACGUGGAUAACCUACCGAUAAGACUGGGAUAACUUCGGGAAACCGGAUCUAGUACCGGAUAAGAGUUUGAACCGCAUGGUUCAAAAGUGAAAGACGUUCUUGCUGUCACUUAGAGAUGUAUCCUCGCUGCAUUAGCUAGUUGGUAAGGUAACGGCUUACCAAGGCAACGAUGCAUAGCCGACCUGAGAGGGUGAUCAGCCACACUGGAACUGAGACACGGUCCAGACUCCUACGGGAGGCAGCAGUAGGGAAUCUUGCGCAAAGGGCGAAAGCCUGACGGAGCAACGCCGCGUGAGUGAUGAAGGUCUUCGGAUCGUAAAACUCUGUUAUUAGGGAAGAACAUAUGUGUAAGUAACUGUGCCCAUCUUGACGGUACCUAAUCAGAAAGCCACGGCUAACUACGUG
rnacentral:rRNA from 1 species